rnacentral:rRNA from 1 species
UACGGAGGGGGCUAGCGUUGUUCGGAAUUACUGGGCGUAAAGAGCAUGUAGGCGGUUUAGUAAGUUAGAAGUGAAAGCCCAAAGCUCAACUUUGGAAUUGCUUUUAAAACUGCUAAUCUAGAGUACAGUAGAGGGUAAUGGAAUUCCUAGUGGUAGAGGUAAAAUUCUCAGAUAUUAGGAGGAACACCAAAGGCGAAAGCAGUUACCUGGACUUGUACUGACGCUGAGAUGCGAAAGCAUGGGGAGCAAACAGG